rnacentral:rRNA from 1 species
UGGCGGACGGGUGAGUAACGCGUGGGUAACCUGCCUCAUACAGGGGGAUAACAGUUGGAAACGACUGCUAAUACCGCAUAAGCCCACGGCUCGGCAUCGAGCAGAGGGAAAAGGAGUGAUCCGCUUUGAGAUGGCCUCGCGUCCGAUUAGCUGGUUGGUGAGGUAACGGCCCACCAAGGCGACGAUCGGUAGCCGGACUGAGAGGUUGAACGGCCACAUUGGGACUGAGACACGGCCCAGACUCCUACGGGAGGCAGCAUG